GCUUGGGUAGCUCAGCUGACAGAGCAUCAGACUUUUAAUCAGAGAGUCCAGGGUUCAAGUCCCUGCUUGAGUG
rnacentral:tRNA from 1 species